AAGGGCUGUGUAUCAUUGCCCAUUUUGCAACUUAUGCCGUGUUGGGAAGGGUCUUGGAAUUGAUUUUUUCCAUUGCAUGAUUUGCAACUGUUGCCUUGGGAUAAAGCUGGAGAGCCAUAAGUGCCUGGAGAAAAGUUUAGAAACGAAUUGUCCCAUCUGUUGUGAUUUCUUAUUUACAUCCAGUGCAACAGUCCGGCCUCUACCCUG
rnacentral:misc_RNA from 1 species